rnacentral:rRNA from 1 species
ACUGCUCAGUAACACGUAGUCAACAUGCCCAGAGGACGUGGAUAACCUCGGGAAACUGAGGAUAAACCGCGAUAGGCCAGGAUUCCUGGAAUGGUUCAUGGCCGAAAUCUAUAUGGCCUUUGGAUUGGACUGCGGCCGAUCAGGCUGUUGGUGAGGUAAUGGCCCACCAAACCUGUUACCGGUACGGGCUCUGAGAGGAGGAGCCCGGAGAUGGGCACUGAGACAAGGGCCCAGGCCCUAUGGGGCGCAGCAGGCGCGAAACCUCUGCAAUAGGCGAAAGCUUGACAGGGUUACUCUGAGUGAUUUCCGCUAAGGAGAUCUUUUGACACCUCUAAAAAUGGUGUAGAAUAAGGGGUGGGCAAGUCUGGUGUCAGCCGCCGCGGUAAUACCAGCACCCCGAGUGGUCGGGACGAUUAUUGGGCCUAAAGCAUCCGUAGCCGGUCCUACAAGUCUUCCGUUAAAUCCACCUGCUCAACAGAUGGGCUGCGGAAGAUACUAUAGGGCUAGGAGGCGGGAGAGGCAAGCGGUACUCAGUGGGUAGGGGUAAAAUCCUCUGAUCCAUUGAAGACCACCAGUGGCGAAGGCGGCUUGCCAGAACGCGCUCGACGGUGAGGGAUGAAAGCUGGGGGAGCAAACCGGAUUAGAUACCCGGGUAGUCCCAGCUGUAAACGAUGCAGACUCGGUGAUGGGUUGGCCUUGUGCCAACCCAGUGCCGCAGGGAAGCCGUUAAGUCUGCCGCCUGGGGAGUACGGUCGCAAGACUGAAACUUAAAGGAAUUGGCGGGGGAGCAC